UAUAUUGAUUUUUUGUUGAAGUUAUAAUUAGCGGCACAUUGGGAUUUUUUUUAUUUGUUUACCAAUAUCAUUUACUAUUAUUAGAUAUUUAGUGAUAUUUGUUUAGUAAUGUUUAACAUAUUAAUUAAUUUAAUUUCAUAGGUUGUGAUUUUUGUGGUGAGAUUUUAGAGAGUAUUUUGCAUCAAAAUUCCAAUAUCAAUCACACAUUUGAGCGAAUUUGAUUACUAAGUGAAGUAACUUUGCUAGCUUUUGGAUUAAAGAUUGCAAGAGAAGAAUAUAUGGAUAAACAGUGGAUGUCAGCAAAUAGGUUAUCUGCGGAAUUUAGGAACGGGGUUGAUUUGUU